AACGGCACGCACGGCGUGGAGGUCCCAGCGUCCGGCGAGCCGGCGGGUAACACAUUCGGGGUGGCUGUGCGUAUUCCGCACGAUUCGGAACAAGAACAACUCCGUAGGAUUUCUUUUCCUGCCUUGCCCUCGCAUACCCUGUUGCAUUUUGGUGUGAAGUUAUGUCUAAUCCAAGAACCAGUGAUCUGGAGUGCACUGUGUAGCCCAGGUCCUGGCGCGACAAACUACAGUAGGGGGCGAUGUAUGUGCUUCCUGAGCUCAGAUACAGAUGCAGUGGAGAAGAUGCAGAUGCAGUGGAAGACGAAGGACGAGGCAGCGCAGGUGCGUUUGGGAAGAGAGGGCAGUGGUUACCGGUGAGAAGGCAACGGGGAGAGUUGUCGUCGUCGCUGCGCUGUGUCGCCAAGCCGUCACUUCGCGCCGCCACGCCGUCACUUGGCGGCGGCGUCUCCUCGCCUCGUUCGUCGCCAGCGUCGCCCAGUGCCCGUUCCUCCGAGAUUGGAUCCGGAGGGCAGCACACCAGGAUUUCUACCAGGCCACUGUGUUCAGAAAAACUCCAAACCGGAUCCUUCUCAUUUUUUGAUUCAGGCCCAAACGAACAGUAUUCAGACAAGCGGCCCAAUUUCAAUCCGAGUUAUUUUUUUCCACCUGGAACCAGGCCCGGAAUGGACCAAACCAGUCUAACCGAACGGGCCCUUAGGAGCACCUGAAUAAAAAUCCUCUCGUGUUUUCCACUUCGAAUGCCCCUUUUUCCAUUGAGGUGGGAUAUAAAAGUAUAAAGACCAUUCCACCCUACAAUAUAACUACCACUCUCUCCAGUUCCACAAUCCGUGUCAAUUUGGACAAAGCUCAGAUCCCUACAACACCAAUUAUAGUUGGGGAAGGUGAACCUCCUCCCUCUUGGGAUUCGGUACCAACUCCAAAAGUUCUACAAUGAGUAUCUCAUUGCGGGAUCGUAUUAGAAAGAGGAGGGAAGAAGAAGAUGAUGACAUGAUGAUAUUUAUUUUCCCCGCCUUAUAUCUGAUGGGUUCUACUAGAGGUGAGGGACAAAAGAAAAAACGUCAUACCUCAAAUGAGACAGGCGAGGUUAAGGUUCGUCGACUCCUCGAGGGACAUGUCAAGAACUGUCAAGUUACAUUUCGGAUGGAACCACACAUCUUCAGAGAGCUUGCAACUUAUCUUAGAAGGAGAAGGAUCAUUGUUGAUACAAGGAUCACGGUCGAGGAGAAGUUGGGGUUCUUCUUAUACAUGCUAAGUCGCAACGCCUCAUAUCAGGAUCUCCAAGUGUAUUUUGGGCACAGUAAUGACACCUUCCAUCAUCACAUCAACCACUUCUUCAAUAAGGUCAUUCUUGUCCUAUCUCGUUGCUUCAUUCAGCCUCCUGAUCCUAAUCAAGUGCAUCAAAAAAUCCAAGAUAAUCCUAGAUUCUAUCCAUUCUUCAAGAAUUGUCUUGGUGCCAUUGAUGGAACUCACAUUCCUAUUUCCAUAUCUCCCGAGAAACAUUCUCCUUUUCGAAAUCGGAAAGGAACACUAAGCAUAAAUGUGAUGGUGGCAUGUGAUUUCGAUCUCAAUAUCACUUUUGUUUCUAGUGGAUGGGAGGGAUCCGCCACAGAUUCUAGAGUGCUAAGAUCAGCUAUGAGCAAGGGUUUCCAGGUACCUCCAGGAAAAUUCUAUCUAGUUGAUGGAGGGUACGCAAAUACUCCAUCUUUUCUUGCUCCAUACCGAGGAGCUCGGUACCACUUGAAGGAAUUUGGGGCUGGACAUCGAAGACCACAGAACCCGAAGGAGCUCUUCAACCAUCGCCACACACUUCUGAGGAACCAUGUGGAAAGGGCUUUGGGGGUGCUUAAAAAGCGCUUCCCCAUUCUCAAAGUUGCCAUGUUCCACACACUGGAAAACCAAGUAAAGAUACCUAUAGCUGAUGCCAUCUUCCACAAUCUAAUCCGAUCACUUCAUGGUGAUGAGGAUUGGUCAGAUCAUCAUCCGGAUAAUAUUGAUCCAUCAAACUUUGUUGCUCUACCAAGUGGUGAUCAAAUGAGUGACCCAGGCACUACACAAGGCAAUGCUUUAAGAGAUACCAUCGCAAGAAAUGUGGGCUCAAUACCAACAACAUCUAAAUUAGUAUUUUCGUGGUUGAAUAAGUUGUAAUAAUUUAAUUAGUAGUAUUGUAAAAUGUAAUAAGUUUUUUUCUUUAAAAAGUUAUGGUUGGAAAAGGCUCCCCAAGGUUCAACAUAGGUGGUUCCCCAAAGUUGCGUAGGUUCAUUCCUACAACAAGUGCUACUAAAAAGAAGACUUCUCCUAAAUGCAGUGGGGCAAAAAAGAGUGGAAGUUCUCCAAGAGUGAAACAAAGAGCGGAUUGGAAUCCAGGCCUUGAGAGGUCUCUUGUUGACAUUCUCCAUGAAUUUAAAGAAAGUGGAUAUAGAGGUGACAAUGGUUGGAACUCCGAAGGGUGGAAUAGAAUGGUCAAGGAGUUUCAUGUGAGGAACAAGUAUGUCUCCUUUACAAAGUCUCAAAUUUAGGAUAAAGAAGGUCAGCUGAAGAGAGACUACAAGAUGCUCAAAGCAGCAAAGCAACAGAGUGGGUCCACCUGGAAUGAGAAAAGGAAUAUGGUUGAAGGACCACCAGCUUUGUGGGAGAAUCUCAUGGUGACAUUUCCUAAAAUCAAGAAGUUUAACAACAACAAGGCAACCUUCCCGCUCUUUGAUGCUUUGGGAGAGCUUUAUGAUGGACACUUGGCUGAAGGGAUUUGGAAUUGCACUUCUCUUGAGGCACCGCAAGAGGAAGAACCGAAUGAGCAACUUCAGGAUGCAGAAGAUGGACCACAAGGCUUUGAUCUGAAUGUUGUUCAUGAUGUAGAUGAUGAAGUUGAUGAUGCACUCACUGAAAGGAAUGAAGAUAUGCUUCAAGGAAGGGCUAAUACUCUGUCACGAGAUGAAGAAAGUGGACAGCGAAGACCUGCUGCGUCAAGAAACAAGCAAGAAAAGGAACCAAAGAAGCCUAGAAAGACUGAUAACAUAGAAAAUAUGAUGAACAAAUACCUAGAAAUGAGGAGCAAGCAAGUAGAAGAUGAAGCUGCAAGAGAAAAGGAAGCAAGAGAAAAGGAGACAAGAGAAAAGGAGGCAACUCAAAGUGAAGAUUUCUCCAUCAAAAGGUGCAUAUCAGUUCUAAACAUAAUGGAAGAAGUGACCAAACUGGAGAAGGCAAAAGCAUAUUCAGUCUUCACCAAGAGCAAAGAGAAUAGAGAGACUUUCAUAUGUGCAUGUGAAGCAGAUCAAGAAUCAGCUUUGUUUUGGCUAAGAAAUGAGAUGGCUUAGUAGGUUUGGGUGAUCAAUUGGUGAUGCUUAGCACAUCUGGAGGUUUCUUAUUUUGAACUGACAUGCUUAGUUCUAAAGUGAUGUUUCUUCUUAGCACAUAUGUUCUAUCUCUUAGCUGUUGAAGAUGUCAGUCUAUCAAGAUUGUUCUUUGCGUUUGUUGGCAAGACUAUAAUUUGUUUGUUGCUAAAGUGUAUUGUCGAGUAUUGGGAAGUCAAACUUUGAUAUCUAGCAGCUUUGAAUUGCUGUUCUUAGCAGCUUUGUUAUGUCUUAGCAACUUUGUUAUGUGUAUUGUCAAGUAUUGGGAAGACAACUUCGUAUGUGUGACCAUUGUUAUUACUGCAUUUGCUUAUGUAGUUGAUUCUUAUGUUACUGUUUCUUUUGGCAAGUAUGCGUGAACGAUUGGAGGUCUUUUUAUUAUUACUGUAUGUAUCUUUGUAUGUAUGUACACCAUUGUUUCUUAGUUGUUAAUAUGUGUAUGUAUGUGCAAGUGCAUUGGAAACAAAGCUGAGCAGUUAUCCUGACCAAAACUGGACAGCAGC